rnacentral:tRNA from 1 species
GGAAGUGUGCCCGAACUACCAAGGACUACUUUGAUAGAGUACUAUACAGGGGUUUAAAUCCCCUCACUUCU